GCCUCUAUGGCACAGGGGUAAUGCGUGAGUUUAUCCUCGAAAUGUCCCAUCUCACCGAGCCCACAGCUAACAUGCAACCAUCCUGGAGGUCGCACUCGUAAUUAUGUAAUCUCUUACACAUACGAUGCCUAUGCGAAGAUCCGCGGUUCGAUUCCGCGUGGAGGCA